UGGGGAAUUUUGGACAAUGGACGCAAGUCUGAUCCAGCCAUGCCGCGUGCGGGAAGAAGGCCUUCGGGUUGUAAACCGCUUUUGUCAGGGAAGAAAAGUCUGGGGCUAAUACCCUCGGAUGAUGACGGUACCUGAAGAAUAAGCACCGGCUAACUACGUGCCAGCAGCCGCGGUAAUACGUAGGGUGCAAGCGUUAAUCGGAAUUACUGGGCGUAAAGCGUGCGCAGGCGGUUCUAUAAGACAGAUGUGAAAUCCCCGGGCUCAACCUGGGAACUGCAUUUGUGACUGUAGAGCUGGAGUGCGGCAGAGGGGGAUGGAAUUCCGCGUGUAGCAGUGAAAUGCGUAGAUAUGCGGAGGAACACCGAUGGCGAAGGCAAUCCCCUGGGCCUGCACUGACGCUCAUGCACGAAAGCGUGGGGAGCAAAC
rnacentral:rRNA from 1 species